UCUACGGGAGGCAGCAGUGAGGAAUAUUGGUCAAUGGGCGCAAGCCUGAACCAGCCAUCCCGCGUGAAGGAAAAAGGCGCUAUGCGUUGUAAACUUCUUUUCCAGGGGAAUAAAAUUUUGUACGUGUACGGAAUUGAAGGUACCCUGGGAAUAAGCAUCGGCUAACUCCGUG
rnacentral:rRNA from 1 species